rnacentral:rRNA from 1 species
AGAUUGAACGCUGGCGGCAGGCCUAACACAUGCAAGUCGAGCGGUAGAGAGGUGCUUGCAUCUCUUGAGAGCGGCGGACGGGUGAGUAAUGCCUAGGAAUCUGCCUAGUGGUGGGGGGAUAACGGUUCGGAAACGGACGCUAAUACCGCAUACGUCCUACGGGAGAAAGCGGGGGACCUUCGGCCUCGCGCCAUUAGAUGAGCCUAGGUCGGAUUAGCUAGUU